GCGUGCCAUAAAGUGCAGAGACCACGCGCUCGUUCGGGGCAAGAGCAUUAUUAGUGUGUUGUGGGUGGUUAUAUGUGGGCUGGUUACAGAUAUUUGAGCUGUCAGUGACUGUGCCUGAAAUGAUUACAUUAACGGUGUCGUCCUAGAUCUCUACACUUCAUGCUGCCUCUUGCUUCCUCAAGCAACAAGGAGGCCUGAAGGCCUUUGGCUCAUAACCAAUGCUGACGUGGCAGCGUGGAGCUACAGGAAC